GCGGAAAAGCCCCCAAGAGCCGCACAGACGCUAGGCGCGGCUCUUUAAAGAGCAUGCGGCUCUUGCUGGCUUUUGCAGGAGCUGGGGGAAGGUACAGAGGGCAGCCCGUCAGUCCCUUCCACCACCUCCCGGAAAAGCCCCCAAGAGCCGCGCGGAGCGUGUGUGUGACUCUUGGGGGCUUUCCCCC